rnacentral:lncRNA from 1 species
CCAGCACAUCACACAGCUCUGCCCUUGAGGACAAAACUUGUGUGUUGAGAUUCAUGUCGUGAACUGUUUUUCAAGAAGCAAUGCAGAAACUAUACAGGAAAAUCUAAGAAAUCUAUGGACCCUUUGAAGGAAGCAGGAGGCUACAGCCUACACUGAGUCAGGUGAACAGCGGUGAGUGCCCAGAUCAUGAGAGAGGGAGAGUUUGCCUUUAGGAUACACACUUCCACUGGGGACCCUGAAAGACCAGGCCCUAACCCCAUCUAAUGCAGGAACCCACUUGUGCAGGGUCAUAGAGUAUAGAAGCAGAAACAGCAGCAGAAAGACACUUGCAUGGAUCUCAGAUCCCAGCAUGGACUGCGGACAGCCAUUCCUUACAGUUCCUCACAGGGGAUGCUGCAGAGGACAGCCAAAAAUUUCAGGUGGUGGUCAUAGGUUGAAAGAAGUUCCCAACAGGGUUUCAUGAUAUAAACUUGGGUAGGGAUGAACCCCCUUGGUCAGGGCCG